rnacentral:rRNA from 1 species
GACGAACGCUGGCGGCGUGCUUAACACAUGCAAGUCGAACGGGCCUGUCUUCUUUUUUGGGGGGUGGGUUGAGUGGCGAACGGGUGAGUAUCACGUGAGUAACCUGCCCUUCGGUCCUGGAUAACCGCUUGAAAGGGCGGCUAAUACGGGGUGGUCCGGUUGGUCCGCAUGGGCUGGUCGGGAUAGAUUCACUGUUUUUGGUGUUUCGGCGGGGGAUGGGCUCGCGGCCUAUCAGCUUGUUGGUGGGGUGAUGGCCUACCAAGGCGGUGACGGGUAGCCGGCCGGAGAGGGUGGGCGGCCACACUGGGACUGGGAUACGGCCCAGACUCCUGCGGGAGGCAGCAGUGGGGGGUAUUGCACAAUGGGCGGAAGCCUGAUGCAGCGACGUCGCGUGAGGGAUGGAGGCCUUCGGGUUGUGAACCUCUGUUUCCGGUGGUGAAGGCCCUGUCCGUGUGGUGGGGUUGACGGUAGCCGGGGAUGAAGCGCCGGCUAACUACGUG